UACAGAGGUCUCAAGCGUUGUUCGGAUUCAUUGGGCGUAAAGGGUGUGUAGGUGGCGCGCUAAGUCGGGUGUGAAAUUUCGGAGCUUAACUCCGAACUGCAUUCGAUACUGGCGUGCUUGAGGACUGGAGAGGAGACUGGAAUUCAUGGUGUAGCAGUGAAAUGCGUAGAGAUCAUGAGGAAGACCAGUGGCGAAGGCGGGUCUCUGGACAGUUCCUGACACUGAGACACGAAGGCCAGGGGAGCAAACGGG
rnacentral:rRNA from 1 species